rnacentral:lncRNA from 1 species
GACAAUGAGAAUGAUGGUCGUAGUGUGAACGUAGUUAGGUCGUAAGAAGAGCGUGAUGAGGACGGCAAGGGCGUGCUAGAAUCGUACUAUGGUCGUGAACAGCGUGGUAUAGUCGUAGUGGAAGCGUAGUUGGGUCGCAGUGAGAACGUGAUGGUCGUAGUGAGGUCGUGAUAACGUCGCUGUGCGAUCGUAGCGCAGUCUCUCCGAAUA